rnacentral:lncRNA from 1 species
UGGACCGAGCGGGUGUGGAUUUGGUUUUGGGCUGAUUUUUGGAUCUUUUUGAGCUCUAUUUUGCAUCCAAUUUAAGUCAUUUUAACCUCCAACUUGAGCUCGUUGCUUUGACAAUCAUCUUUUCUGUAAAAUACAAGCAAAAGCAACAAUUCUUGAGGAAUAAAAAACAAUUAGUAUCUAUUUUGAUGCUCCUUUUGGGAUAUUUAAUG